CAUUGCCUGGCUGCAAGGCUGUAUGCAACAUCCUGGAGGCAUUAAAGUCCUUCCAGCUUGCAAAGAUUCCUGACAGAGCCCUUGUGGCUUUUUACCAGUCGCACCUAUGACAAUCUACGGAGCAGACUCUGGCUUAAUUUGCACCCUACAUCAAGCCCAUUAAAAUUGGACUAGUUUAAGAAA